rnacentral:ncRNA from 1 species
CCGUCGCUCAACGGAUAAAAGCUACCCUGGGGAUAACAGGCUGAUCUCGCCCAAGAGUUCACAUCGACGGCGAGGUUUGGCACCUCGAUGUCGGCUCAUCGCAUCCUGGAGCUGAAUUCGGUUCCAAGGGUUGGGCUGUCCGCCCAUUAAAGCGGUACGCGAGCUGGGUUCAGAACGUCGUGAGACAGUUCGGUCCCUAUCUGUUGUGGGCGUUGGAGAUCUGAGGAGAGCUGUCCUUAGUACGAGAGGACCGGGAUGGACCUACCGCUGGUGCACCAGUUGUUCCGCCAGGAGCAUAGCUGGGUAGCUAAGUAGGGAAGGGAUAAGCGCUGAAAGCAUCUAAGCGCGAAGCCUACUCCAAGAUGAGAUCUCCCAUUCGUCAAACGAAGUAAGACCCCUUGAAGACGACGAGGUAGAUAGGUCAGAGAUGGAAGUGUAGCGAUACAUGGAGUUGACUGAUACUAAUAGGUCGAGGACUUAAUCAC